UGCCUCCUGCUGUGUGCGUGGAGCACCAAAUAUGCUUAAACCCCUAAGACGUUAAAUCGGGACUUGUUCAUGGAGGGAUAACGAGCAUGCCUGCUUGUCCAGGAUCCUUGUGCCCUUCAAAUGAGGCCCACCUGCUUGUCAGGGUGUUUAACGUGACGGUGCUAGCGGCAUGGCGGGGGCUUU
rnacentral:other from 1 species